CAAAAACAAACAAACCAUACCAAACCAACCAGAACCCAAAAAGAUAAAAGAUAGAACUCUCUUGGUAACUGCUCGUAUUUGUAUUUUUACAACUUCACUCUCUGCUGUUCGGCUCUCAUUUCUAAUCUUGUCUUCUUCCUCUCAUUUCUUCUUACGAUAAAAUUCUGAAUCAAACAAAGCUCAUCACCACACUCAUUCUUACCCAUUCGCAGUCUAGUGGGUCAGGGGAGCAUUGAAUUGGUGAAGCUAAAAUUACUCCAUUUAUUUUCACUUUUCUGCCUAGAAGGUUUAUCAUUCACAUUAUGCAGACUCCCAAAACAAGAAGUGGCUCUUCAGAAGUCCCACUGAAGGUCUCUCCUCGAGCUGCACGGCAACUGAAUACAACUGCAUUAGAGUCCAAGUCUGCGUCUUCAUCAAGUCAAACUUGUAGGACACCAAAAGAGAGAAGCCCUAAGGUUGUUGAACGCAGGACACCCAGAAGCCCAGUG